rnacentral:rRNA from 1 species
UACGGGGGGGGCAAGCGUUGUUCGGAAUUACUGGGCGUAAAGGGCUCGUAGGCGGCCAACUAAGUCGGAUGUGAAAUCCCCAGGCUUAACCUGGGAACUGCAUCCGAUACUGGAUGGCUUGAAUCCGGGAGAGGGAUGCGGAAUUCCAGGUGUAGCGGUGAAAUGCGUAGAUAUCUGGAAGAACACCGGUGGCGAAAGCGUUCUGCUAGACCUGUACUGACACUGAGGGACGAAAGCUAGGGGAGCGAAUGGG